rnacentral:lncRNA from 1 species
UUUCCAUUGGCGUCUUGUAGCCCCUGGAGAAUGCGCUCUCUCAGAACCAGAACAGAAACACGGAGCUGGUGCCAGAGUAGUUGUACUGUAUGGAUAUCGACUAUCACAUUGACAGAGUAUGAGAGAAGCUUCAGGGAAAACUCAGUCUCUAGUAGAGCAUGAAUUUGUUCAACAUGAUCAGAUAUAUCUUCACAAAUAUCUACAGCUUGUCUCGGUCUUUUAGCUUCUCUUUAGUUAUCUUGAAGAGGGCUCCCUCUUCUGUACAGCGCCUUGGCUCCCCCCCACCAUUUGCUCUGAAUUCCUUCUAAAUUCCCUGGCUGUCUAACUAUUUCAAAGUCAUGUCAAAAGGCUCAGUCAUAGCUCCACGCCCUCAUUCGUUGUUCAUGCUCAUUCCUCUCCCCCUUCUUUCCUCUUUUUUGUUCGUGGAUCAUCU